rnacentral:rRNA from 1 species
GGGCCCGCACAAGCGGUGGAGUAUGUGGUUUAAUUCGAUGCAACGCGAAGAACCUUACCAGGGUUUGACAUCCUGCGAAUCUCUUGGAAACGAGAGAGUGCCUUCGGGAACGCAGUGACAGGUGGUGCAUGGCUGUCGUCAGCUCGUGUCGUGAGAUGUUGGGUUAAGUCCCGUAACGAGCGCAACCCUUGUCCUUAGUUGCCAGCACAUUAUGGUGGGAACUCUAAGGAAACUGCCGGUGAUAAACCGGAGGAAGGUGUGGAUGACGUCAAGUCAUCAUGCCCCUUACAUCCUGGGCUACACACGUACUACAAUGCUACGGACAAAGGGCUGCAAGUUCGCGAGGACAAGCAAAAUCCCAUAAACCGUGGCUCAGUUCAGAUCGUAGGCUGCAACUCGCCUACGUG